rnacentral:lncRNA from 1 species
CGUUUCCACCAAGCAGUACAGAGAAAACAAUCAAAGGAUUGCUGUCUGUAAUUCCAAAUACAAAAUGAAAGCACCCACUCUUCAUUGGGAACCUGCCUUGAACUUUCCCUCCAACGUCAGUUCUGUCAAGAAGCUUGGCAAGUUUUUUAUGCUGGAGAAUCAAGUAUAUCUGCCGGAAAAUCUCAACAUCAGUGAGCUCACCUGUGUGGCCACAUACACCUCUGAGUCCGGCUCUGUGCAGCACAGGAGCACACUUUAUCUUCCAGGUUCACAAAACUCAAAUCCCUCAUCUCCAUGGAAAAAUAUUGCCAUAUCAGUUGGCUCUGUUUUUUUUGUUCUUGUAGCGCUGCUUGCGGUUUACAAACUACGCAGAAAGUUUUAUGACAUAAGUGCGUUGAAGAUGCUUUGCUGCAAAUCCAAAAUCUCAACACCAGUUGAAGACAAACCACCCCAGCCCGCUGAUGUUGAAGAGGUGGAACCCUAUGCAAGUUACGUACAGAGAGUCAAUUCCAUCUACAACUCCUCAGCUGAACUCUUCAACGCCUGAGAGACACUCGCUUUUCAUGAUGAAACAGGAUACCAGAAGAGAACUGAGGGCAAAGAUAUGUCUGUGGUCAAAAUUACACAUGAAAAACAGUACUAGUGGAAAAUAGUCAUCUCAAGAGAGCAUCCCCGAAGCAAACAGCACCUGACUGAGGAGCAAAAGUCACACUGACUCAAAAGAUGAAAGGUGAUGACAAAGGAACAUUUGUCUUAGUAUGCAAUGAGGAAUAACUGGGACAUCUUCAGCAUCAGCGAUAUCACUAAUAUGUAGAUUUGUAGAGAACGAACCUGGUUAGAUAUUAAUCAAAUUUGUACAUAUUUAUAUCAGAGUGAAACUAAAAUCAACUGCAAACAAUGUUUUUAUUGCUAAAUACUAAGCAGACCUGAUGUAGAGAACCUAUUUUACAUUGCACAUAAUUAAAAGUAUGUAAAUAAACGUUAUUAUUGUACUUUUCAGAAUGGUAUAUGUUCUUACAGACUUAUGAUUACGGUCCCCUAUCAGUUUUGAACACAAACAACACAAGUGCGACAAUUAUUUUAUGACCAUUUAGCUUUUUUAAAUCAAAU